GACGAACGCUGGCGGCGUGCUUAACACAUGCAAGUCGAACGGAAAGGCCCUGCUUUUGUGGGGUGCUCGAGUGGCGAACGGGUGAGUAACACGUGAGUAACCUGCCCUUGACUUUGGGAUAACUUCAGGAAACUGGGGCUAAUACCGGAUAGGAGCUCCUGCUGCAUGGUGGGGGUUGGAAAGUUUCGGCGGUUGGGGAUGGACUCGCGGCUUAUCAGCUUGUUGGUGGGGUAGUGGCUUACCAAGGCUUUGACGGGUAGCCGGCCUGGGAGGGUGGCCGGCCACAUUGGGACUGAGAUACGGCCCAGACUCCUACGGGAGGCAGCAGGGGGGAAUAUUGCACAAUGGGCAGAAGCCUGAUGCAGCAACGCCGCGUGCGGGAUGACGGCCUUCGGGUUGUAAACCGCUUUCGCCUGUGACGAAGCGUGAGUGACGGUAAUGGGUAAAGAAGCACCGGCUAACUACGU
rnacentral:rRNA from 1 species